GAUGAACGCUGGCGGCGUGCCUAAUACAUGCAAGUCGAGCGAACGGACGAUAAUCUUGCUUCUCUGAUGUUAGCGACGGACGGGUGAGUAACACGUGGAUAACCUAGCUAUAAGACUUGGAUAACUUCGGGAAACCGGAGCUAAUACCGGAUAAUAUUUUGAACCGCAUGGUUCAAAAGUGAAAGACGGUCUUGCUGUCACUUAUAGAUGUAUCCGCGCUGCAUUAGCUAGUUGGUAAGGUAACGGCUUACCAAGGCAACGAUGCAUAGCCGACCUGAGAGGGGGAACGGCCACACUGGAACUGAGACACGGUCCUGACUCCUACGGGAGGCAGCAGUAGGGACUGGUCCGAGAUGGGCGAAAGACUGACGGAGCGACGCAGCGCGAGUGAUGAAGGUCUUCGGAGCGGAAAACUCUGUUAUGAGGGAAGAACACAUGUGUAAGUGACUGUGCACAUCGUGACGGUACCUAGUCAGAAAGCAACGGCUAACUACGUG
rnacentral:rRNA from 1 species